AGAGUUUGAUCCUGGCUCAGAUUGAACGCUGGCGGCAUGCUUUACACAUGCAAGUCGAACGGCAGCGGGGGAGCUUGCUCCUGCCGGCGAGUGGCGAACGGGUGAGUAACACAUCGGAACGUGUCCUGUUGUGGGGGAUAACUGGCCGAAAGGUCAGCUAAUACCGCAUGAGACCUGAGGGUGAAAGAGGGGGAUCGCAAGACCUCUCGCGACAGGAGCGGCCGAUGUCUGAUUAGCUAGUUGGCGGGGCAAAGGCCCACCAAGGCGACGAUCAGUAGCUGGUCUGAGAGGACGACCAGCCACAUUGGGACUGAGACACGGCCCAGACUCCUACGGGAGGCAGCAGUGGGGAAUUUUGGACAAUGGGGGGAACCCUGAUCCAGCAAUGCCGCGUGAGUGAAGAAGGCCUUCGGGUUGUAAAGCUCUUUUGCCAGGGAAGAAAAGGUGGAGGUUAAGAGCUUCCGCUGCUGACGGUACCUGGAGAAUAAGCACCGGCUAACUACGUGCCAGCAGCCGCGGUAAUACGUAGGGUGCGAGCGUUAAUCGGAAUCACUGGGCGUAAAGCGUGCGCAGGCGGUUGUGUAAGACAGGUGUGAAAUCCCCGGGCUCAACCUGGGAACCGCACUUGUGACUGCACGGCUGGAGUGCGCCAGAGGGGGGUGGAAUUCCACGUGUAGCAGUGAAAUGCGUAGAUAUGUGGAGGAACACCGAUGGCGAAGGCAGCCCCCUGGGGUGACACUGACGCUCAUGCACGAAAGCGUGGGGAGCAAACAGGAUUAGAUACCCUGGUAGUCCACGCCCUAAACGAUGUCUACUAGUUGUCGGGUUUUAAUUAACU
rnacentral:rRNA from 1 species